rnacentral:sRNA from 18 species
CGUCGCUGCCGCGCUCACCAGAGGCGGCAGACCGGGGCCCACCGCCCCGGACCGAAGAACAUAUAAGCGCUGGCCCACCUUCGAAUCGGGCGCCAGCCCAACAAGAAAUUUCGGAUGUACGCAUGCUCCAGGAAGGAGCAUGAAAUCCC